AUCAUUGCAAUUGUUGGU
rnacentral:siRNA from 1 species